rnacentral:rRNA from 1 species
UACGUAGGAUGCAAGCGUUGUCCGGAAUUAUUGGGCGUAAAGAGCGCGCAGGCGGUAUGACAAGUCAGAUGUGAAAGAGGCCGGCUUAACCGGCAAGGGUCAUUUGAAACUGUCAGACUAGAGUGCAGCAGAGGAUAGUGGAAUUCCCGGUGUAGCGGUGAAAUGCGUAGAGAUCGGGAGGAACACCAGUGGCGAAGGCGGCCAUCUGGAUCAACACUGACGCUGAGGCACGAAAGCGUGGGGAGCAAACAGG